UACGAAGGGGGCUAGCGUUGCUCGGAAUCACUGGGCGUAAAGCGCACGUAGGCGGCUUUUUAAGUCAGGGGUGAAAUCCUGGAGCUCAACUCCAGAACUGCCUUUGAUACUGAGGAUCUUGAGUUCGGGAGAGGUGAGUGGAACUGCGAGUGUAGAGGUGAAAUUCGUAGAUAUUCGCAAGAACACCAGUGGCGAAGGCGGCUCACUGGCUCGAUACUGACGCUGAGGCACGAAAGCGUGGGGAGCAAACAGG
rnacentral:rRNA from 1 species